rnacentral:rRNA from 1 species
UACGGAGGAUCCAAGCGUUAUCCGGAAUCAUUGGGUUUAAAGGGUCCGUAGGCGGUUUAAUAAGUCAGUGGUGAAAUCUGGUCGCUCAACGAUCAAACGGCCAUUGAUACUGUUAGACUUGAAUUAUAAGGAAGUAACUAGAAUAUGUAGUGUAGCGGUGAAAUGCUUAGAUAUUACAUGGAAUACCAAUUGCGAAGGCAGGUUACUACUAAUGGAUUGACGCUGAUGGACGAAGCGUGGGAGC